UUAUUUCCCUUUCUCUUACCAUGUUCAAUUUGCUUCUUGUACGACCUUUCGGUUUUUUCAUUUUUUUUCUCGAAUGCAAAUUGCAAAGCAUUACUAGAACAAACAUAUAAUUUUGUUACUAGUUUAUCCUUGAGAUCAAACAAUUUUAAGUUGGAGUUGAGAGGUCCAAAUUGUCAAUUUGUGCUACUAUACCUUCACUCGAGAAAGUUAACAGCAAAUAAUUAUAUGUGCACUUUAUUUUGUAGAGAUUUCCCUCCCUCUUUUACCUCUUUGCUUUUGCUUUCUUCCUAAUCAUACUGGUCUUCCAUCACCACCACAACGACCAAACAACACAGUUCUCUCACAACCCUUCUUCCCCACUUCAACAACUUGCUGUCAACACAGAAGCACUGAAGACUGGGAGUUUCCUUCACGCCAGCCAUAACUCUCUGUUCAUGCAUUCCUGCAUCUGUGUGCGAGUCGGUGUCUUACUUCCCUGAUGCUGAAUGUACAGACAUUACUCUACACUUCAUAGAGAUGUGUUUGUCUUUGACACAAGCGAUAGCUGGGGAGGGGAGAUUUAAACAAGUAACCUCAGAUGCAAGGGUAAAUACUCUUGACCAACUGAGCUACGAGUGUCUUACCUGGAGAUGUGUUCAUCAGUUCAUGUCUUACUUCUAGGAAGGUAGGAUAUAACAAAAGAGAGUAGUGCACACCAAAACCAAAACUAUUUUCACUCAAAUUACAUAAAGUUUAGUUACAUCAGAAAUCAUGGGGGAAAUCAAACCAAAGAAGAAAAAAAAAUAUAAAUUUAUUCUAUACCCGUUUUCCACACCGGAAAAACGAUAAACAGGAAUCCAUUUGAACUGGUUAAUCCUCUCUCCUUUUGUUUCUUUCUUUUUCUUCGAAUUUCUCUCUGUUUUGUUUUGAUCAUAUACUCUAGCGGAAAAUAUCGGCGAGCUGCCUAUGUAUGCUUACAUUAGUCUCACACUCUGGAACUAGGGAUAUAGCAAGUUCUGUACAACUGUAAAAAUCAAG